rnacentral:rRNA from 1 species
ACCGGCGCACGGGUGAGUAACGCGUAUGCAACUUGCCUAUCAGAGGGGGAUAACCCGGCGAAAGUCGGACUAAUACCGCAUGAAGCAGGGGCCCCGCAUGGGGAUAUUUGCUAAAGAUUCAUCGCUGAUAGAUAGGCAUGCGUUCCAUUAGGCAGUUGGCGGGGUAACGGCCCACCAAACCGACGAUGGAUAGGGGUUCUGAGAGGAAGGUCCCCCACAUUGGUACUGAGACACGGACCAAACUCCUACGGGAGGCAGCAGUGAGGAAUAUUGGUCAAUGGGCGUAAGCCUGAACCAGCCAAGUCGCGUGAGGGAUGAAGGUUCUAUGGAUCGUAAACCUCUUUUAUAAGGGAAUAAAGUGCGGGACGUGUCCCGUUUUGUAUGUACCUUAUGAAUAAGGAUCGGCUAACUCCGUGCCAGCAGCCGCGGUAAUACGGAGGAUCCGAGCGUUAUCCGGAUUUAUUGGGUUUAAAGGGUGCGUAGGCGGCCCCUUAAGUCAGCGGUGAAAGUCUGUGGCUCAACCAUAGAAUUGCCGUUGAAACUGGGAGGCUUGAGUAUGUUUGAGGCAGGCGGAAUGCGUGGUGUAGCGGU